rnacentral:rRNA from 1 species
GACGUAGGGGGCGAGCGUUGUCCGGAUUUAUUGGGCGUAAAGCGUGCGUAGGCGGCUGCGCAAGUCGGUUGUGAAACCCCGGGGCUCAACCCCGGAACUGCAUCCGAUACUGCGUGGCUAGAGGUAGGUAGGGGAGAUCGGAAUUCCUGGUGUAGCGGUGAAAUGCGCAGAUAUCAGGAGGAACACCGGUGGCGAAGGCGGAUCUCUGGGCCGAAAUUGACGCUGAGGAGCGAAAGCGUGGGGAGCAAACAGG